GAUUAACGCUAGCGGCAGGCCUAAUACAUGCAAGUCGAAUGGGAUUUCGGGUAGCAAUAUCUGAAUGAGAGUGGCGCACGGGUGCGUAACACGUAUGCAAUCUGCCUCUGACUGGGGAAUAGCCUUCCGAAAGGAAGAUUAACACCGCAUAAAAUAAUGAAGUGGCAUCACUUUAUUAUCAAAACUCCGGUGGUCAGAGAUGAGCAUGCGUCCGAUUAGCUAGUUGGUGAGGUAACGGCUCACCAAGGCGACGAUCGGUAGGGGGUCUGAGAGGAGGAUCCCCCACACUGGUACUGAGACACGGACCAGACUCCUACGGGAGGCAGCAGUAAGGAAUAUUGGACAAUGGUCGCAAGACUGAUCCAGCCAUGCCGCGUGAAGGAUGAAUGCCCUAUGGGUUGUAAACUUCUUUUAAACGGGAAAAAACCCCUCUACGUGUAGAGGGCUGAUGGUACCGUAAGAAUAAGGAUCGGCUAACUUCGUGCCAGCCGCCGCCGUAAAAC
rnacentral:rRNA from 1 species